CUUGUAUUGUCAAUAUAUAAGCUGUCUGAAAUUUAUUAUUUGAUUUGUCACAUCAGUAACUUACAGAGAAGAAUUUAAAGAGCAAAAAAGCCAACAUGAGUAACUUUAUUUAUAAAGGUGUCACAGUUCUUGGCAAGUAAAUCCAUUCCUAGGUAAACCAUGGCUUCUGGCUUCAAAUUCACAAUUCCUAAGGUCCCCCUUUUUUUACCUGGAUGCUUGAGCAAAAGGAUAUUCGGUUUGGAGGCUAGAGAAGGAAGCAAUGAUGCUGCCUGGGUAUUUCACAGGCAUUUGUAUAAUAAAUGAAAUGAACUUGGAAAGCAUUUAAACACCAGCCACCCAUCAGUGUGAACUAAGUAACAGGUGAAAUCAUAAGGAUGGCACAAUGUGUUUGUCGUUGUAACUUGUUUAAACUAACUUCACUGUUGUGAGGUUUUCACGGUUCUUCUCCGAGGGUCACUUGUCAGCUUGGGAGGAGGUGGAACCUCAGCUCUUCACAGUUCCUGAUGAUACAUAAAGCAAAAAACUGUUUGACUUUCUAAAACCUUUUCAACACAAGCCAAAGCCAAACUACAGACUAGUAACACAUAUUUCUGCCCUAUAUGUGUUACCAAUUUUAACACAUAAAAUUAGAAAUAGGUUUUUUAAAGCCCAUAUUGCAAAACAAAGAAGAAUACGAACAGAUUAUUCACUAAAAAAAUGCAAAACACCAACAAUCAUUUGAAAAGCGUUAAACCUCACAGGUAACCACAGAAGUACAAGUUAAAACAGUGAGAUAAAACUUUCACCUAUUACUCAGAAAAGUUUCUUUUUUUACGUUGCUACUUAGUGCAGACAAGGAUUUCAGGAAAUAUGUACAACCAAUAUUGGCAUAUGCUUUCUGAAAAUUGAUUUAGCAACAUUUACCAACUGUCACAUAAAAGUUAUAUAUGUUGACUAAAUUUCACUUGUAAGAAUUUAUUCCAAGUCAAUAGUGGAAAUGUAGGCAUGUGAGGUUGGAGAUUUCUGUGUUGCUGUUGUCAGUAAAACAAUUAGAAAAACUCUGCAUCUCUAAUAUCAGUAACUGGUUACGUAAAUUCAGCCUAUACCCCUACAAUGUGUUUACUAUGCAGGCAUUGAAAAUAAUGUUAUAUAGUGAAAUAGCAUCAUGAUAAUAGGGACUACAUUACUUUAUAGAAGAUAGACUUACAGAAAAAAGGGGCAGCAAAUUGACACUUAACAAUUUUCUCCUGUUCCAAAGAUAUCCAAUGUUAUAUAAGAAAUAACCAAACAUGGGUAAGGCAGAGGAAAGACCAGCACAUGGAGGGCCAAGCUGUGAGUGAGUUGGGCUUAGGGAUCCAUAAACCCAGAGAUGCAGACGCCCAGCUCAGAUGGAGCAUCACUCCCACAUACAACAGAACCCAGAGAUGCAGAUGCCCCACUCACUCCGAUAGAGAAUCAACCCCAUAUACAACAGGAUCCAGAGAUGCAGACACCCCACUCACUCAGAUAGAGAAUCAACCCCACAUAAAAUAGAACCCAGAGAUGCAGAUGCACCACUCACUCAGAGCAACAACCCCACACACAACAGGACCCAGAGAUGCAGAUGCCCCACUCACUCAGAUGCAGCAUCAACCCCACACACAACAGGACACAGAGAUGCAGAUGCCCCACUCACUCAGAUGGAGCAUCAACCCCACACACAACAGGACUCAUGGAGGCAGUCACCCAGCUCACUCAGAUGGAGUGUUAACCCCACGCACACAAAACCCAGAGAUGCGGAUGCCCAGCUCACUCGGAUGGAGUAUUAACCCCAUGUACAACAGAACCCCGAGAUGCAGAUGCUCAGCUCACUGAGAUGGAGCAUCAACCCUACACACAACAGGACCCAUGGAGGCAGAUGCCCAGCUCACUCAGAUGAAGCAUCAACCCCAUGCACAACAGGGCCCAUGGAGGCUGACAUCCAGCUCGCUCAGAUGGAGCAGGAGCUGCUGAAGGGUGUUUUGGCCCAGGACUGGAGCAGAAGGCAGUAGCCCUGAGGCUUACAGAGCAGACCCUAUGGCCACAUGCUUGGACUUAGGCCUCUGCUUGGCUGCCUGAAGGCUGCAGGGAGCUCCUUCUCUGUCCUCAGGUUCCUUUCAGGGCCUGUGCCAGUCAGCGCCUCCCCUGGCAUAGGUCUUGUGCAAUUUCUAAUGACAGCAUGAUUCGGAGACUAUAAUAGCUACACCUUCCCCCAAAGCGAGGAAAGAUCUAACUGUACAGGCCGCUGUGAAACUGGAACAUCGGAGGAAGAGGAGCUAGAAAGCUUACCAGGCCGAUGAGGAUGCUUGCUGUCAACUGUUCCAGCCCCACUCGGAACAAGCUGCCACCAACGCAUGGCACCCACAGCCUGCGUGGGCCUCGCCGCCCCAUCCUGCCUUCCCUGUGCAGCAACCAGGGCUUGGAGACAUCUUCGCACCAUCCUGGGACUGGGCAGCGCCACCCCCUGGGUGCUCUUCUCUGCCCUGGCUCGCUCCCUUCCUGCCUCCGAGAACUCUGCAUGUGGAGCCCAGCCCCGUCCUCCCCAGGACCGACUUGCUGGUGUAGUCGACCAGCAAGAGGGGCUUCAGUAAAGAGGGGAAGGCUGCACUGAAAACAUGUUCUGGUUAACUUGGUGAAAGAAGAAGGGUGCUCCACUGAAAUCCAGACAAGGAAGCCUGAAGUUCUUUUCCAGGGAAAAGAUGCUUGGGCCUGACCGGUAUAUCUCUGACGGCAAUUCUCGUCUGUCUUUAAGCAUCCCACUCAACUUCGCGCCACUGAAGCUCCUUACCCUGAAUUCCACCCCCAGCCCUUUUUUUUUUUUUUUAACAUUUAUUAUUUUGUAAAGGGCAAGAACAUGUUAACAUUUCCUUGCCACUUUACUUCUCACAGAAGCUAGCCAUUCAGGUUGCAUAUUGCUUUCUGAUUUGAUAUACAUUAUCUGUGCAAGUAGACUUUCUUCUACUGGCAAGGACACAAUUGCAUUUGUUUGUUAAAACUCAGCACCAGAUGCUGCAGCAAAGGGACCUGCCAGCCAAAGGUGGAGCUAAGUUCCAGGUGCUCCUGUUUCCAGUUACAGUAAGGUGCAAAACAAAUACCAUUUUUUUGAAAAAAACAAAAAAAAAUACUACAUAUUAUUAAAGAUGUAUUUUAUUGCAUAGCAAUCGAUAAACGUAAGGUGUCACAGGUUUGGAAUGUGAAAAAUAAUUUUGAUCCCAAACCUCCUUUCCUG
rnacentral:lncRNA from 10 species